rnacentral:rRNA from 1 species
GAUGAACGCUAGCUACAGGCUUAACACAUGCAAGUCGAGGGGAAACGACAUCGAAAGCUUGCUUUUGAUGGGCGUCGACCGGCGCACGGGUGAGUAACGCGUAUCCAACCUGCCCAUCACUUGGGAAUAACCUUGCGAAAGUAAGACUAAUACCCAAUGAUAUCCCACGAAGGCAUCGGAAUGGGAUUCAAGAUUUAUCGGUGAUGGAUGGGGAUGCGUCUGAUUAGCUUGUUGGCGGGGUAACGGCCCACCAAGGCAACGAUCAGUAGGGGUUCUGAGAGGAAGGUCCCCCACAUGGGAGCUGAGACACGGUCCAAACUCCUACGGGAGGCAGCAGUGAGGAAUAUUAGGCAAUGGGCGAGAGCCUGAACCAGCCAAGUAGAGUGCAGGAAGACGGCCCUAUGGGUUGUAAACUGCUUUUAGAAGGGAAUAAAGUGGGUCACGUGUGACUUUUUGCAUGUACCUUAUGAAUAAGGACCGGCUAAUUCCGUG